rnacentral:rRNA from 2 species
AGGCGACGACGGGUAGCCGGCCUGAGAGGGCGACCGGCCACACUGGGACUGAGACACGGCCCAGACUCCUACGGGAGGCAGCAGUGGGGAAUAUUGGGCAAUGGAGGAAACUCUGACCCAGCGACGCCGCGUGCGGGAUGAAGGCCUUCGGGUUGUAAACCGCUUUCAGCAGGGAAGAAGCGAAAGUGACGGUACCUGCAGAAGAAGCACCGGCUAACUAUGUGCCAGCAGCCGCGGUAAUACAUAGGGUGCAAGCGUUGUCCGGAAUUAUUGGGCGUAAAGAGCUCGUAGGUGGUUCGUCACGUCGGAUGUGAAACUCUGGGGCUUAACCCCAGACCUGCAUUCGAUACGGGCGA